rnacentral:rRNA from 1 species
GAUGAACGCUAGCUACAGGCUUAACACAUGCAAGUCGAGGGGAAACGACAUCGAAAGCUUGCUUUUGAUGGUCGUCGACCGGCGCACGGGGGAGUAACGCGUAGCCAACCUGCCCAUCACUUAUGUAUAACCUUGCGAAAGUAAGACUAAUACCCAAUGAUAUCUCUAGAAGACAUCUGAAAGAUAUUAUAGCUUUAUCGGUGAUUGAUGGGGAUGCGUCUGAUUAGCUUGUUGGCGGGGUAACGGCCCACCAAGGCAACGAGCAGUAGGGGUUCUGAGAGCAAGGUCACCCACAUUGGAACUGAGACCAGGUCCAAACGCCUACGGGAGGCAGGAGUGAGGAAUAUUGGUAAAUGGGCGAGAGCGUGAACCAGCCAAGUAGCGUGGAGGAAGACGGGAUUAUGGGUUGUAAACUGCUUUUAUAAGGGAAUAAAGUGAGAGUAGUGUCUCUUUUUGUAUGUACCUUAUGAAUAAGGAACGGCUAAUUACGUG